rnacentral:rRNA from 1 species
GACAGAGGUUGCAAGCGUUGUUCGGAAUUACUGGGCCUAAAGCGCACGUAGGCGGAUUGCUAAGUCAGGGGUGAAAUCCUGGAGCUCAACUCCAGAACUGCCCUUGAUACUGGCGGUCUCGAGUCCGGGAGAGGUGAGUGGAACUGCGAGUGUAGAGGUGAAAUUCGUAGAUAUUCGCAAGAACACCAGUGGCGAAGGCGGCUCACUGGCCCGGUACUGACGCUGAGGUGCGAAAGCGUGGGGAGCAAACGGG